AUCACGACAAGAGCUGAAGGCAGAUGCUUCACUGACUGAGCCACCCAGAUUUUAUCCUCAAGGUGUCCUGCUCACCUGCUUUGAAGCUUGCCGGCUGGCUCCUGGCUUCCCUCUUCCGAUCCCUGAUCUGGUACAAUGAGAGACAAGUGUUAGAUCGGAUGGAUGGAGAAUCAGAUGAUUUCAAGAAUUCAAACAUCAUGCCUUCCAAAGCUGCUGAAAACAUCCAUGAACAGUCAUCUGUGUUUGCAGAACGAUUGGGACUUGCCUAAAAUAGACAACGGUGUAUUCAAGUGGGUAUAUUUGUGGAGGUGUGGACAAGGCUGGAGAUCUGAGGAAAUGAGGAAAAGCAGCAUUGCAACAAACCUUCCUUGUCUUGUUUUAACAAAGAAGAAUCACUCUCUCUCCCCAGUCUCCAGACACAUGCCUUUCCCAUUAUGUGCUAGAUGGAAGUUACAGGAGGUACAGUGAAUAUGGGGAGACUGAAACCAAAAGUAUGGCCAUUGAGGAAGAUUAAACUCAACUUGACCUCGAAGGCUGAUGGAAAAAUGAUGAUUAGAAAGAGGAUAUGCAUAUCUAAAUUGCAUUUUAUCUCUAUUACAGUCUAACGACAUUACUAACA